GCCUCAUCCUCCCAAGCUGCUGGGUUUACAGGUAUGCACCACCAUCUCCUGAAGGAUGAGGAACUUUAAAUACUUUUCCAAGACAGUUUAGGAUCACUUGGUCUCAGGCCCAAAGGAGGACUGCCUGUCACCUCCAAGCCACUGUCCCACUCACUUUUGGUUAAAAUUCAAAAGUUUUGAUGGACCUUUGUUUUGUUCAUUUAUUUAUAUGCAGUGCUGAGAAUCAAACCCAAUACCUCACACAUGCUAGGCAAGUGCUCCACCACUGAGCCACAAAGCCAGUCCCAAAUUCAAAAGUUUUAUUUAAACUGCAAUCAACUAACCAGUCAAUCAAACAGCUUACAGCCUGGUCCUGGACCCCUUUCUCUCUUCACUCCCACCUGUCACCAGAUCAUUAUGCACACUUUACCUGCCAUCUACUCACUGAUGACUCUCCUGUCCUCUUCUCCCCACUGCUGCACUGAAAAUGUGCUCCUCCAAAGGCCUCCCUCUUACUAACUCCUGGAUACUCCUAAGAUACUGACUCCAUCUUACUACAUCCUCAAAGCCUCUGUCCUUGCUUCUCAUUCUCAUUCUGAAACCCUCUUUCUUUGGCCUCUAUUAGUCUGUUUUCUAUUUUCAGACUGUUUUAACAGUUUAUUUUGGCUUCCAGUUCUGGAGAUGCAGGAUUGAGGCAUUACAUCUGGUGAUGGCUUUCUUGCUAGCAGAGUCCCGAGGUGGUGCAGGGCUUCACAUGUGCUGGGGAUCAAACCCAGGGCCGUGUAUCUUCUAAUGUUAUCAUCUGCUCAAUCAUCUGACUCUCCUAUUGUCAGCUUUCCAGGAACAAGGACUGAUCAUUCAUCUUUGUUCCUGAGAACCUCGCUAAUGCCUCACAUAAGUUUUCUGGACUACAAGUUUUCUACUUUUCUUCCCAAUUCUGCAUCUAUUUCAUAGUUGCUUCCAGGUAAAACUCAGCCCAGGGCAGACAUGAAGUGACAGGAAGGGGCCAGGCUCCCUGGUGAAUGUGCACUGGUCACCCCCAGGCAUGGCCUUCAGCCUGUGGCUCUCACCUGUCUGUGCUGGUGAUAUGAUGCUUGGCCUACUGGAUAAUAUGAUCAAUCUUUUGGAUAAUAUGAUCGAUCUAGUUUGGCCCUCAGCUCUCAGCAUCUCUCAGGUUUGGCCUUGAGAUUCAGCUUGACUCAGUUCUGCCUUUGCAGCGAUGGGUCAGACCAUCUGGUGUCCCUCCAAGCAGAAGAGAAGGGGACAAAAGCAAACACAAGGACUGACACCUCAAUGACAGCUGCCUCAGACCUUUUUGAGAAAUCAAGUGUAAAUGCACAAAUCAAUAAAAAAGAAAACAUUUUGUCUGUCAAAUGCCAUUAACCCUUUCACCAGUGAUGAAUUGGGAAACAGGAAAUCACACAUUUGUGAGCUUUCUCCUACUAUAACAAAACAUCUGAGAUAAAUUAACUUUUAAGGAGGAAAGUUUUAUUGUGGCUCACAGUUUCAGAAGUUCCAAUUCAUGGUCACUUGGCCCCAUUGCCUUUGGGCUUGUAGUGAGGCAGAACAUUGUGGUGGGGACAAUGUGGCGGCUAAAGCUGCUGGCUUCAUGGUGGCCAGGAAACAGAGAUAAGAAGAAGAAAGCUGGGUUCUCCAAAUCCCCUUCACUGGACACACCCCCAGUGACCCAACUUCGUCUAGUAAGUCCCAGUUCCUAAAAUUUCCACAACCUCCUAAUACCACCAAAGGCUAUGAAUCAAGACUUUGACACAUGAGCUUUUGGGAGACAUUUAAGAUCCAAACUACAGCACCUGGAUUCUGAUCCCCACUGGCUUCUGGCUUUGGAAGGACCUUGAGUAGGCCACUGAGAUCCCUGACUAUCAAGUGGGAAAAUGGGCUGAAAAGAAAGCAAGUCUAGGGGUAGGAAUUCUGAAGGAGUAGAAUGUUAGAUGCUGUAAACAUUAAAACUGUGUGUUUUUCAGGCUGGGGUUGGGGCUCAGUGGUAGAGCACUUGCUUAGCUUUGCAUGAGGCACUGGGUUCGAUUCUCAGGACCACAUACAAAUAUAUGAAUAAAAUAAAAGUCCACUGAUUUUUUUUUAAAACUGUCUGUUUUUCCACUGUAGAACUGUUUGUGAUACAAAAUAUUGACCAAAACUUAAUGUGUGCAUACAACCACUGAAGGAGCAAAUUGAAAGAUAUAUUGUUAAGUGGGAAAAAAACAAAAUGUAAAACAUAUGUAUAUGUCUUAUAUAUGUACAGCCUAUAUUUCUGGAAAGAAAUAUAAGAAACCAGAAAACUGUGUGAAGGGAAUUGGAUAUCUGUGGGUCUGGUGAGAGGGAAAAUUUUG